UGUUUGAGCUGAGAAAGGUGUGAGAGCUUCAAGCAGAGGCCACCUGGAUCCCAGCCCCUCAGGUGUCAUGGAGGCAGUAAAUAUAAAUGACAGUUAGCACUUCCCUGAGGGCUUCUGCAGACUUCACUUCUUCUCUUCUGAAUUCUUCAAAGCAAAAGGACCCUGCUCACAGCAAGGGCAAAGAGGGCAUCAAGUAAAUCCCAGCCGACACCCACAACGCUUAACAUGUGUUUGCAUACUGAAGUCCAAUGGUGUUUCAUUUUGCUCCGAGGAUGUUUUAUGCAGUGACAGGACUGGAAGCAAUUUACCACAACUUUGAGUAAUCAAGCCCCAGCGUGGUUAAAAGCAUCUUAUUUUCCUUCACACUGUAAAGGAGAUCGUCUGCC